GAUGAACGCUAGCGGCAGGCUUAAUACAUGCAAGUCGUGGGGCAGCAUGAGUGUAGCAAUACAUUUGAUGGCGACCGGCAAACGGGUGCGGAACACGUACAGAACCCUCCUUCAAGCGGGGCAUAGCCCAGAGAAAUUUGGAUUAAUACCCCAUAAUAUAAUGAAGAGGCAUCUCUUUGUUAUUAAAGAUUUAUCACUUGAAGAUGGCUGUGCGGCUGAUUAGGUAGUUGGCGGGGUAACGGCCCACCAAGCCUGCGAUCAGUAACUGGUGUGAGAGCACGACCAGUCACACGGGAACUGGGACACGGGCCCGACUCCUACGGGAGGCAGAAGUAAGGAAUAGUGGUCAAUGGACGCAAGUCUGAACCAGCCAUGCCGCGUGGAGGAUGAAGGUCCUCUGGAUUGUAAACUUCUUUUAUAUGGGACGAAAAAAGGCUUUUCUAAGUCGUCUGACGGUACCAUAUGAAUAAGCACCGGCUAACUCCGUGCCAGCAGCCGCGGUAACAC
rnacentral:rRNA from 1 species